GGGUGUACUAAGGCCAGGGAGCCUAAAAGUGAAACCCACUCAAAGCAAAGGGAAACUGAUUAGUCUACCUGCCUGUUGUGUAAACAGCACAAAUGGUGACAGUAAACUUUGUUUGUAACAUUCCUUCCAUUUUGAUCUUCUGAAUGUUGAUUUGUAAGAGGGAUAAAAAUGUGUUUUCAAACACUUUUUACCCUUUAAGCAUGUUACUAGUGGAUUCUAAUGUGAUCCAGCAGCCACAGAGCAAAUAUAUUGGCAGCCAGCUACCAGGAGUUUCAGAAGACAUCCAAAAGAACUCACCCUGCUUCCUUGUGUGACCUCGAAACCAAGCUGCUGCUUCUGAGAAGGAACCUGAAGCGAGACUUGAGGGGCAAGAUGACACCCCCCCAUCAUGAGCGCCACAGGAGUGAGGGGGGGGGAAAGGGUAGGAGGAGGAAAGAACUGUAAACACUAAAUGGGAAUGUUCCAUCAAAUUUGCUGACAACUGAGAGCCAAACCAGAACAAUGAAUUCUCCCUUUUAAAUGCCUCUGCUGCGACCAUUCUGUUCAGAUACCUGUAGGAAGCUCAUCAGUGAGUAGUACAUCCACGGAACUCUGUUCCCAUCUAGGAGAGCUUAGAAGAACACUGCACAGGUGGUAGUCACACGACCCACUCUCAAAGUGCCUCAGUAGCAAUUUUCCUCUAUAGGAAAUUUAAAAUAUACACUUCAGCCUUUACUGUAUAAGGUACAUUUUUUACUCUGUACGUUUAGACUAUUUAUUUAUUUCCUGUUCCCAUAGAUUAGAGAUUUCGGUGCUUCCCUUACUUCACCUUCCUUCCGUAUCCAGCUUAGAGGUGAACGGAUAUUUAGCGCUGCCUACACAGACGCCUGGAGUCAUGGGGAUCAGCUGGGGAGGGGUGAGGGCAGUUCCUGCUGCACUAAUAUUGAACACUAUUAACCUAUGCUGCUGCUUUUUGGGAAUCAGAAAAGCACCAAAGUUCACAGGUGCAUGGACAAACCAUCUGUAGGCUCAGCAGCACCACACAAACAUGGGCACUAUUUGGCGUUGUAGGGUUUUAAGUUACUGUUGGAAGAAGGGCAGAAGAGGCUUUCUGUGUGUUUUGACAGUUGACAAAAUUCAGACUAAUUUCUUCCAGCUUCCAUACAGCUCCAAGGUAUUUCUUUCUGGAAAAGUUUCACACGCUCUCUCUUCAGAGAGAUUUUUCAUGGUAAAAAUUGUUUGAUAAACUAUAAGCUUGUUGUAAUAAAGAACACACAACUCUCAGCUAAA